rfam:Dipodomys ordii contig_25505, whole genome shotgun sequence.
UGGCUCAGUGGUAGAGUGCUUGCCUUUCAUGCAUGAGGCCCUGGGUUCGAUUCCUCAG